UACGGGGGGGGCAAGCGUUGUCCGGAAUUAUUGGGCGUAAAGGGCUCGUAGGCGGCCAACUAAGUCCGACGUGAAAUCCCCAGGCUUAACCUGGGAACUGCGUCGGAUACUGGAUGGCUUGAAUCCGGGAGAGGGAUGCGGAAUUCCAGGUGUAGCGGUGAAAUGCGUAGAUAUCUGGAGGAACACCGGUGGCGAAGGCGGCAUCCUGGACCGGCAUUGACGCUGAGGAGCGAAAGCCAGGGGAGCAAACGGG
rnacentral:rRNA from 1 species